rnacentral:rRNA from 1 species
UACGAAGGGGGCUAGCGUUGCUCGGAAUUACUGGGCGUAAAGCGCACGUAGGCGGCUUUCUAAGUCGGGGGUGAAAUCCUGGAGCUCAACUCCAGAACUGCCUUCGAUACUGGAGAGCUUGAGUCCGGGAGAGGUGAGUGGAACUGCGAGUGUAGAGGUGAAAUUCGUAGAUAUUCGCAAGAACACCAGUGGCGAAGGCGGCUCACUGGCCCGGGUACUGACGCCUGAGGUGCGAAAGGCGUGGGGAGCAAACAGGAUUGAGAUACC